AGAGGUUUUGUAGUCCUGGCGUCACGAGUAAACACGUGCGGACGCACAUAAGACAUGCAAGUCGAACGGACUUAACCUAUAAGUUUACUAUUGGAGCGGUAGUGGCGGACUGGUGAGUAACACGUAAGCAACCUGCCUAUCAGAGGGGAACAACAGUUAGAAAUGACUGCUAAUACCGCAUAUGCCUUAGUAUCGCAUGGUACAAAAGGGAAAGGAGCAAUCCGCUGAUAGAUGGGCUUGCGUCUGAUUAGCUAGUUGGUGGGGUAAAGGCCUACCAAGGCGACGAUCAGUAGCCGGACUGAGAGGCUGAACGGCCACAUUGGGACUGAGAUACGGCCCAGACUCCUACGGGAGGCAGCAGUCGGGAAUAUUGCGCAAUGGAGGAAACUCUGACGCAGUGACGCCGCGUGCAGGAAGAAGGUUUUCGGAUUGUAAACUGCUUUAGACAGGGAAGAAACAAGACAGUACCUGUAGAAUAAGCUCCGGCUAACUACGUG
rnacentral:rRNA from 1 species